AAUUCUCAACCCCUUCAGUUUUGUUUUGCAAGCUAAGUGGGUUUGGAUGUGGAGGUGUUGCCGGCCUGGAAAAACAGGUCAGCUCCUCUGAAAUGUAUUAGUGGAACUGUUUGUGAUCCAUCAUAGGUGUGAUAAUUAUCUACGCCAGUGGGUUGCUCUCUGUGUUCUGCUACUAACCGUCCGCAAGGACACAUUAUUGAAU
rnacentral:misc_RNA from 1 species